CGAGGUGUAGCUUAAGUAGAAAAGCAUCUCCCUUACACUGAGAAAACGCCCGUGCAAACCGGACCGCCCCGAC
rnacentral:tRNA from 1 species